CGUAUGAUUUCUACAGCAGUAAAAGCGGACACCGAAGCUAACGCGAACACACAACUCUACAGAGAGCGAUACUACACAGUUUUAAACAGCGAAUAUCUCUAAAUUCAAACACUCUUGGAAUCAUUCGGGAUAAAAAUUGCAGAUUCUGCACCUCCCUCGAACCUCUUGAAGUACUUUCUGUUAAGUCUCCAGCCAAGAAUGUAAUACAAGUACAUUAUCUGCAAACACAAAUGAUAAGUGAAUAAUAAAAUUGGUGCAAAAUAAAUGUAAUAUAUAUGACCACUCUAGAAUUCCUAUAACGCGUAAGUCGAGAGGACACGUACAGUUAGCAUGAUACUACUGUACCUUGUUAUUAAACUCAACCUUAAAGUAAUUUUACCUGAGACCAUCUUUUCUUGUGACGGAUCUUGGUCUUGUCUUUAAAAUGAACCAUCAUCAGGUUGCCUUUAGGAAGGGUGUAUUCCAGACGACCUCCAUACGGAGUGCUUAUGAUCCUCUGACGGGGAAGCUUCGGGAUCUUCUCGAAAAUACUUGGAUUCUCUACGCUGAAAAUGCUAAUGAAUGCAAACAAAGAUUUUUGGAUCAGUGUUUGCCCAUCACUUUGCAGUACACACAGAUGGAUUAGAUUAAGGAUAAUCCUUACGUGUAAACUUCUUUAAUGACUUCCACAAGAGUUUCAGCAUAUUCAUUUGCAAGUCGCUGAUUUCCGACUUUCUUGAAGGCGUCAUCAAAAUAAAUAUGGAAUUCAAACUCUUCAUCAGUAUUUGUGCUGGACUUUGGUCUGUAUUUAUCGAGCCUGGUCUCAUGCCACAUUGUUGCACACGGAAACACUCUGAUGGUUUCUUUUACUCUGAGGACAAUACGUAUUCAAAAAGUGAGGCAUUUUAACUCAUUAAAUCAAAGUAAAAGUCUUUGCUUCAGGAAGAAAACUUACCGUUUCACCUUGUGUCUUUUUUUGAUCACAAAACG